rnacentral:rRNA from 1 species
UACAGAGGGUGCAAGCGUUGUUCGGAAUUAUUGGGCGUAAAGGGUGCGUAGGCGGCGCGGUAAGUCGGGUGUGAAAUCUCGGGGCUUAACUCCGAAACUGCAUUCGAUACUGCCGUGCUUGAGGACUGGAGAGGAGACUGGAAUUUACGGUGUAGCGGUGAAAUGCGCAGAUAUCAGGAGGAACACCGGUGGCGAAGGCGGGUCUCUGGGCCGAUACUGACGCUGAGGAGCGAAAGCGUGGGGAGCGAACAGG